GAUGAACGCUGGCGGCGUGCCUAAUACAUGCAAGUCGAGCGAACAGACGAGGAGCUUGCUCCUCUGACGUUAGCGGCGGACGGGUGAGUAACAUGUGGAUAACCUACCUAUAAGACUGGGAUAACUUCGGGAAACCGGAGCUAAUACCGGAUAAUAUAUUGAACCGCAUGGUUCAAUAGUGAAAGACGGUUUUGCUGUCACUUAUAGAUGGAUCCGCGCCGCAUUAGCUAGUUGGUAAGGUAACGGCUUACCAAGGCAACGAUGCGUAGCCGACCUGAGAGGGUGAUCGGCCACACUGGAGCUGGGACGCGGUCCAGACUCCUACGGGAGGCAGCAGUAGGGAAUCUUCCGCAGUGGGCGGAAGCUUGACGGAGCAACGCCACGUGGGUGAUGAAGAUCUUCGGAUCGUAAAACUCUGUUAUUGGGGAAGAACAAAUGUGUAAGUAACUAUGCACGUCUUGACGGUACCUAGUCAGAAAGCCACGGCUAACUACGUG
rnacentral:rRNA from 1 species